CUGUUGUAUGAAAGGGGGGAGGUUAAACCUCCCUCGACAGGGAUGCGAGAGGCCCUCAGCCUGAACAAGAAACACGUGGUUAAGGCAUCGCCACUCUGUGAUCUCACCCAGGGUUUUC
rnacentral:ncRNA from 1 species